GUGGGCAGCCGAUCCGGCCGCCCAGGGCUCCCUCCCCGCGCACACUCCAAAACUGGGUCUCACUGAUCAUGAGACCUGGCUCACUAUCUCCCAGUAAGUUUGGAUUCUGAGCAUCGGGAAAGGAAUUCUAGAACUCUUAGUUUGUGCAGCGUGUGGGUUAUCACUCACUUCGUACAGGUGUGUCACAGUCUUGUUUCCUUGGUCUAGGGAACUGAAGUCCACUCUCUGGAUGGAUGUAUCUAAGCUGCAUUGGAGAAAAAGCAGAAAUACUGGUUCCCAGGCAGGUGUAGAAUGUAGAGAGUCCCAGGUAGCCUUGAGAUCCAGUGCCCAGAACUAAGACCUGCCAUCCUUGUGCUGCGCUGAACUUGUUAUCAUAUUCUGCAUACAAAAAUGUGACUGCCAGCAUUGAGGCUGUUAUACAUACCCUGAACUAUGGAAGACGAUUUUCAUGUCAGCGUUACAGACUUCAUCUGUCCCACAGUUCUUCUGAAAAUGAAUCUAACAUGUUUAUGAAGAGCA